ACCGAUAAAAGGCAAACCGUCCGAAAGGACAGGACGCAAAGCCGAGGCCUAAACCUGCAAAAUAGGCAUGGCAGCAAGAUCCUGAA
rnacentral:ncRNA from 1 species